UACGAAGGGGGCUAGCGUUGCUCGGAAUCACUGGGCGUAAAGGGUGCGUAGGCGGGUCUUUAAGUCAGGGGUGAAAUCCUGGAGCUCAACUCCAGAACUGCCUUUGAUACUGAAGAUCUUGAGUUCGGGAGAGGUGAGUGGAACUGGCGAGUGUAGAGGUGAAAUUCGUAGAUAUUCGCAAGAACACCAGUGGCGAAGGCGCUCACUGGCCCGAUACUGACGCUGAGGCACGAAAGCGUGGGGAUCAAACAGG
rnacentral:rRNA from 1 species